rnacentral:rRNA from 1 species
AACGUAGGAGGCAAGCGUUAUCCGGAGUAACUGGGCGUAAAGGGCGGGUAGGUGGUUGUGUAAGUUGGUUAUGAAAGCUCCUGGCUAAACUGGGAGAGGUUGACCAAGACUGCAGAACUUGAGUGGAGAAGAGGUAAACGGAAUUCCGCGUGUAGUGGUGAAAUGCGUAGAGAUGCGGAAGAACACCAGUGGCGAAGGCGGUUUACUGGUCUCCAACUGACACUGAGCCGCGAAAGCAUGGGUAGCGAACAGG